rnacentral:rRNA from 1 species
UACGUAGGUGCGAGCGUUGUCCGGAAUUACUGGGCGUAAAGAGCUUGUAGGUGGUUUGUCGCGUUGUUCGUGAAAUCUCACGGCUCAACUGUGAGCGUGCGGGCGAUACGGCAGACUAGAGUGACUGCAGGGGAGACUGAAUUCCUGGUGUAGCGGUGAAAUGCGCAGAUAUCAGGAAGAACACCCGUGGCGAAGGCGGCUCUCUGGGACGGUACUGACGCUGAGACGCGAAAGCGUGGGGAGCGAACAGG